UCGCGGGAUGGAGCAGUCUGGUAGCUCGUCGGGCUCAUAACCCGAAGGUCGCAGGUUCAAAUCCUGCUCCCGCAAU
rnacentral:tRNA from 3 species